UACGUAGGUUGCGAGCGUUAUUCGGAUUUACUGGGCGUAAAGAGCACCGAGGUGGCUUCUUAAGUUGGAUGUGAAAUCUCCUGGCUUAACCGGGAGGCGCCAUUCAAAACUGGAGAGCUUGAGGUCAGCAGGGGAAGGUGGAAUUCCCGGUGUAGUGGUGGAAUGCGUAGAGAUCGGGAGGAACACCAGUGGCGAAAGCGACCUUCUGGGCUGCACCUGACACUCUAGUGCGAAAGCGUGGGGAGCAAACAGG
rnacentral:rRNA from 1 species